rnacentral:rRNA from 1 species
CCUAGAGAUAGGGCUUCUCCUUCGGGAGCAGAGUGACAGGUGGUGCAUGGUUGUCGUCAGCUCGUGUCGUGAGAUGUUGGGUUAAGUCCCGCAACGAGCGCAACCCUUGAUCUUAGUUGCCAUCAUUAAGUUGGGCACUCUAAGGUGACUGCCGGUGACAAACCGGAGGAAGGUGGGGAUGACGUCAAAUCAUCAUGCCCCUUAUGACCUGGGCUACACACGUGCUACAAUGGACGGUACAAAGAGCUGCAAGACCGCGAGGUGGAGCUAAUCUCAUAAAACCGUUCUCAGUUCGGAUUGUAGGCUGCAACUCGCCUACAUGAAGCUGGAAUCGCUAGUAAUCGCGGAUCAGCAUGCCGCGGUGAAUACGUUCCCGGGCCUUGUACACACCGCCCGUCACACCACGAGAGUUUGUAACACCCGAAGUCGGUGGGGUAACCUUUUUGGAGCCAGCCGCCUAAGGUGGGACAGAUGAUUGGGGUGAAGUCGUAACAAGGUAGCCGUAUCGGAAGGUGCGGCUGGAUCACCUCCUUUCUAUGGA